UUUGAGGAGUAAAAACACAAAUGAUGGAGGGAAAGAGAUCAGAAUCACCAGAACCCAGCUGUGUGUCCAUGAAGAGUGACCAGUCAAUGGGACUUCCAAUUAAAUUCAGAGACAGAGACAGUUCUACUGAUGUGAGACCACAAAAAUCAAACAUCAGCACAAAUCAGCUGGACUCUAUAUUCAAGG